UAAAUAGUCCGUUCUUCCCUCUAAAUACUCAGAAAUCCAUGUAUCGAUUGAUGCAGGCAAAAAGUCAGCUAUCUGGACUGCUUCUCAUUGGUGUCUCUAGGUUCUCAUUACCCGCACUGCAUUGUGGCGAGAAUGCUGAAGGCUUAUGUUGAAGAAUACAAUAAGCAACAGAGCCAUGUGACUUGCUGCUGUACUAACUACCAGACAAUGUUACCGAUCAUAUUAUACAGUCUCCAUGCUUUGAAGACACAGGCUGCUCUGCUAUGAUUCACUGAUGAAUUGCGAAAGUUGAAAGAAUUCAAACAAAGGUAAAGAACAAAUAAUUGUACAUGCACUGGAAGCAAAGUGAAGAGAUAACAUUUAUACUUGUGCCAUUUUGGCUCUUUGUUUUUUAAUCUUUUGUGAGAGCUCAAGACUAGUGACUGCAAUUUGGACCCGCUACUGGAUUCCCACAUGAUUUCUGGCUUUAACAAACAGUACUUUGGUGGACGAUUAAGCUAGCAGCAGUAUUGUUUUUGCUACAUAAAAGAGCUUUAAUAACCUUGAUUUAAUGAGCUUUUUCUCGUCUUUUCCAGUCAAUGCAUGAAAGACAACAGCUGUGGACACUGUUUUACCGUACAGGACUCCCCGGUUAGACAGAUAAGGCUCCAAACACAGUUACUUCUUGGUUGUCUUAGCACUGUUCUCGCCAUCACUGAGUUCAGUGUCUAUUUGUAAAGUGGAAUUGUUAUAAUGCUUAAAAAU